UCAAUUUGGAAUGAUAUAGUCCAAAGGAAAAUAUUCUUUCUACACCAGCAGAAGAAGCUACUUCUGUUAAGAGUGAGAUUAUCACUUUAACAGUCUCUGAAUGCAAGUGCUUAAGUGACUUCCACCAUUUCACUGAAUUUUGGCUGAAGACAGGCA